AUAUCAGAAGGCACACCCGGAGAACUGAAACAUCUUAGUACCCGGAGGAAGAGAAAGAAAAUUCGAUUCCCUUAGUAGCGGCGAGCGAAACGGGAAGAGCCCAAACCAACAAGCUUGCUUGUUGGGGUUGUAGGACACUCUAUACGGAGUUACAAAGGACGACAUUAGACGAAUCAUCUGGAAAGAUGAAUCAAAGAAGGUAAUAAUCCUGUAGUCGAAAAUGUUGUCUCUCUUGAGUGGAUCCUGAGUACGACGGAGCACGUGAAAUUCCGUCGGAAUCUGGGAGGACCAUCUCCUAAGGCUAAAUACUCUCUAGUGACCGAUAGUG
rnacentral:rRNA from 1 species